rnacentral:lncRNA from 1 species
CUGACUCUUUAGGAUUGGGUCUGCUGCUCUAUUCUUAUGGAAAUGACUGAGGAGAGCCUUGGAUGGCACGCAUUAAGAUAUCAAAGUCAUCGCAAGAUGGAAAGAUCGUGGAUCCCUCAAAGUCUUUGCCUAUGACUGAAAAAUAAACAACAUUGUUUUAAGCUACUGUGUUUUAAU